CAGAGUCCCUUGCAGAUCCUUUCUUCAUAUUUCCUGUGUGCAGCUGCCCGUUGAGGAGUGAACUUGCUACUGGCUCUCCUGAAUCAUCCUAACGCAGGACCUAGAAGUCCAAGUCUAUAGACCCUGCCAACCUAAAUGAUAAAGCUGUGAGGCUUUGGAAAGCCUGAAUCAGGAUUCAGAGGUGGAUGUACAGCUGUCAGAAAGUGUGGAGUGGAGGUUCCUUAUCGUUCAACAGACAGGAGCAGAGGGGCCAGGUUUUCAUCUCUUUAACCAUGAUCGCUGACAUAUGCAGGUUUCUUCCUUUGGGAUACAGAACUUAAUUGCGUAAAAGAUCAAGGAACACGACCGCAGUUUGCUGCCAAUGCAAUACUAUCAUUUAUUGAAAUGUUUGCAAACGACCGUUGACCUUUUCUGCUUUGUAAAACAGAAUUGCUAUGAAGAAGCCACCGUGUGGAAUGCAUGUCAGGACUGAAGUUCUUGGGACACCCAUCCUAAACGACGAAAUGAAAGCAGCGUUGCCUCUUGUGGGGAUGAAGCCAGCCUCUACUGCAGUAUUAAUUAAAAGCAUUGAACUGAUGGGUAAACCGGUUUUAUGACUUUAAUCAAAUAAGUCUCUUGUGGAAUGUUUCCAAAGAGUUUUAGUGAGCCUAUUAUAUCAUUUUAAUGAUCAUUUGUUUGGAAAUACAAUGUGUUAUAUUCAUCGGAGACUCCAGUCAAUCGCUUACUCAAGGACAUCACGUUUAUUUAUUUUACUAAUCCUUUCAUUCGCUUCAAAGACAUUGCAAACACUUUUUUUAUUUUUUUUUAUUGAGCGAUUUAAAAGAGCUCUAUUUUUGUUAACAAUUAAUGAAAACCACAGAGGGCCUUUUGCCCUUCAUGUUGAGAGAAUAUUUUUUGUGUUUCAGUAAAUUUAUAAUUCAGAGCACCACUUGUGUUGCCAAAUGAUUCCUUUAAUAGUU